rnacentral:lncRNA from 1 species
CAGUUUCCUUUGUAAGACGUGUCACAUAGUAUGAGGACAAGUUCAGAGUUAGACUAAGCAAAGUUUUUAGACGGUAUGUUUCAUGCUUGCUUCUUGGAAAACUUUCUUAAAACUUCUAAUGACUUUUCAUUUUGGUUAUUUAGGAGAAUUGGAGGGAUUCAUUGAUAGGCUGAAUUUAUUUUAAGCAUUUCUGCUAAUAGGUUUUAGAAAUGCCCCACUUAGCAUGUGAAUACUGUCUCUACCUCCACAGUAUAGACCCUAGGUGGCUUACCCAGUUGAUCCUUCCUCUCAGUGAAUCAGCAUGCACUUUACUGAGCACUGUUCUGAUGAGUUGUCAAGCAGUGCCAAGGAGUAUUGGAAGCUUGUGAUCUAUUAGAAUUAAAUGAAAUAAAUACACAUGGAAUGAGAAAAAAAUACUGAAUUCCACAUCUCAGAAGGAAGAGAUCAGUCUGGGCUGGACUAGUCAGAUUUCACGGGGGAGUAUUUGAGCUAAGUAAUGAAGAUUUUUUUUGUAGAAAGAAAAAUAGCAUUGAAGUACUAGGAAUAUC